GUCCCUCCGUUUUAGCUGCCGCCGCGGCGGCCGCCGAGCGCGCUCUUUCCGCCCCCUUCUCGCGCGUGAGCGCGCCCUAUCGGCUCCUGGCGCGUCAACAUUCCGCGGGCCAGGCCUUGGGGCGCGUCUGAGGAGGGGGAUGUCUGUGGCCUCUCCGCCCACACUUCCUCCACCCACCGCCCACAGCGCCCCAGAAGGACCUAUUACUCGUUUGGCUUCUGAAGGCCGAAGCCAGGCUCUGGCGGGGAUAGAACCCUGAAGGGCCUGCGCCAGCUCCAACUUAGGGCCCUGUGCGUCGUUGCGACUUCUGCUACCACCCUAUCACGCGGCACCCCCGCCCCAACUCCGCCCGGGUCUCUGAAGAGGCAAUAGGCCUUUCAUCUCCGGGGAAAGUCUCACCUUGGCCCUCAGACACCCGCCAAGAGGGGUCGGAAGGACAGAAUUAGCAUAGAGAAGAGUGGCUAGAGCACUUUUCAGGCUCUGGCCCCAGGAAUCCUUGACAGGAAGCGUGGGGUUGCUGCCCAGCCUCCCACGCAGUGUAAUAUGUUGAAGCCGGGCCCCUUUGAGGGAAUGCGACUUCCUUGGGCCGAGGGGGAAAGGUAUCUUUUGCUGCCUCUUACGUAUUGUAGGCAGUGCCUGAUGGCUGAGAAGAAUCGCAGAGGACUAGAAAAGGUUUGAGUCUGAAAUUAUCUGGCACAGAGGAUUAAAGCUCAGAAAUAAGUGAUUGCGAAACAGUUCAACUUCCCUGUUAAUGACAACAACAACAGCAACACGCUUAUUAAUUCCUAGCUGGAGCAUCAAGCUUAUGAAGAUUUCCAAGACUUUAUUGUUGACCCUUGUUGAAGAGAACUCUACUUGGCUUCUUUCCUGGCUUUCCUAAAUUGUUCACAUACAAGAUAAACUACCGUCAUUCAGACUUACAGAAGUGAGAAGACAAGCUGAACCAAAUGUAAAAUGGUAGCAAUUUACAGAUGUCAGAACUAACAUGUGGAUGAACUUAGAGAUGGAGAAGAAAGCUGGGCUUUUCCAAAGAGUGGAUCUAUCUGAACUGGAUAGCACUAUUGAACUUUGUUGCAUAUUUUGUGGUAGCUCUAAAACUCCUCUGCUUGCUUACAUACAACCAGACACCAGUGCCUUCUGAAGCUAAUCCAGGCCAUUUUUAUAACCUAAUGCAGUAGCACUUUGCAAUUAGAUGAAGAAGAUCGGUGGGAUUUCUUUCUGUGGUGAUUAAAAUGUGUCAGGGGAAGAAAUCAAGACAAUACUCCAAGUGAAAAAUAUAAAGUCAGUUAUUUCUUUAAUAUUUUGUGUUAUAGUAAUCAUUUUUAUAUUUUGAGCAUACUUUUUCUUGUCUACUUAAAUACUCAAAAUUAAUUAUAAAAUGUAAAUGUAAGCACAAUGAGAUACCAUCUCAUCCCAGUUAAAAUGGCUUUUAUCAAAAAGAUAGGGAAUAAUGAAUACUGGUGGAAGGAUGUGGAGAAUGGGGAACCCUCGUACACUGUCAAUGAGAAUGUAAAUUAGUACAGCCACUAUGGAAAACUGUAUGGAAGUGCCUCCGAAAACAAAGUAGAACUACCAUGUGAUCCAGCAAUUACACUAGUGGGUAUAUAUUCAAAAGAAAGGAAAUCAACAUAUUAAAGAGAUAGCUGCAUUCUCAUGUUUAUUGAAGUCCUGUUGAAAUAGCCAAAAUAUGGAAUCAACCUAAGUGCCCAUCAGUGGAUGAAUGGUUAAAGAAAAUGUGAUUGAUAUGCAAUGGAAUAUUAUUCAGCCAUAAAAAAGAAUGAAAUCCUGGCGGGGCACAGUGGCUCAUGCAAGUAAUCCCAGCACUGACCUCAUGAAGACAGAGAGUAGAUUGGUGGUUACCAGAGGUUGAGAAGGGGAGAGGAGAGGAGGGAUGAAGAGAGGUUGAUUGAUGGAUAGAAAUAUACAGUUUGAUAAUGAUAAAUCAGUAGGGUGACUAUAGUUUAUAAUAACCUAUUGUAUGGUUCAAAAUAGCUAAAAGAGAAUAAUUGAAAUAACGUAAGACAAAAAUUUAAGAUGAUAGAUAUCCCAAUUACACUGAUUUGAUCUUUACAAAUUAUAUGAAUGUAUUAAAUUAUUACAUGUAUCCCCAAAAUAUGUACAAGUAUUUUGUAUCAAUAAAAAAUAAAAUUUAAGAUAAAGUAAAUGUAAUGAUUAGCUUAUAUUUCCUAGAUCGGAAAUAAAUAUUUACUUAAGUAUGUUUAUGAUGAAGAGUUUUUUUAUAUUACUAUAAAAAUAGACACCUUACAUAAACAUAUUACAGUUGGUGUUUAGAUGGCUCUUUUUUUUCUGGCCUUGAAUUUCUGGAAAGUAGGUAUGGCCUGCUAUGUCAGGACUAGUUCUUGGAAUUCUUUGUUGU
rnacentral:lncRNA from 1 species